UACAAUUUCCAUACCCAGAUGUGGCCCUCGGGCCAAAAAGUUUGCCCACCCCUGAGUUAGACUGUAAUGCCUUGGCACUUGUAUUGCAGCAAAGGGUGCUAGAGAAAACCCCUCAGAGGGAUUUUCAGGGCAGGUCCUGUAAAAAGCCACGUAUAUUUGCAGUACUAAAUAAAAAUUAAAAAUCCUUUCCAAGAUAUGGGGGGGGGGGGGGGGGGAGAAAUCCUGCCAGGGCUCAGAGUGGGUUAGCUGGAUACCCUGUUUCCUGUACAGAACCACAGAUAACAUUUUACAGUAAAUAUGAUAUGAAUUCCUUCUCUUUGCAGAAUCAGGAAGCUAGUGCCCCUCUCCCUCUGCUCAAAGCUCUUUUCACAAGGUUAUUUUCUGAAGGCAACUUUUCAAUAUAAAUCCUAUUAAAUGUACUACACAAUGUUUGUUGUUUGCCAUAUUGAAAUCCAACGGGCAGAAGGUGUCCGUUUCAAAAGCAGGGUAAUUUAUUAUAACAAACUUGGCUUUUUGACACAGACAGUGUUAUCUCAAAAGCACCUUAUGCUUCAGGCUUCUAAAGCAACACAGUUGAAAAAAACAAGCUGAAAAGUUGAGUUCUUGCAGGGGUAAUCCCCCAAGCUGUGGACAAUACCUGCUGCUUUUGGCUCAGGAUUAUUAGGACAUCCCAUGCUUUGAAGGUCCCAAAGAUCAAGUGAAAAAACAGAAACAAAUCACCAAUGUGAAAAACUUUGCAAAUCUGGAAAACAAACCCCAGCAAAAUGAGAUUUGGCAGAGAAACCUCCUAUUUCAGCUAGAACAUCCCCUCUUCUCUUCAAGUCUGGGUCUCACAGCUACUUGGCUACAAUUUACAGACAUCCACCCUGCCUUUUCCAGCACAAUAGAAUACAGCCAGCUAUACUACCAUGGGAGGAUUCAUGCCAGACAGCAGUAUUCCAGCUUGGAGCCUGCAGAGGGAAGUGAUCCUGCAUUAAAGUCAGAAGCAUUCCUAUUAACAACAAAACUAGAUGGCCUGUUUCUUAUGAGAUUAGAUGAACCAAAUUAGGGUUUAUGAUUAGUUCCAGGUCUACAUACAGAAAAUGCCUCCAGCAGAUCCAAAAAGGCCCUUUGCACUGCUGCUCUAAGCCCUGGUCUACACGACGAGUUGAGGUCGAAUUUAGCAGCGUUAGAUCAAUUUAACCCUGCACCCGUCCACACGAUUAAGCCAUUUUUUCCAACUUAAAGGGCUCUUAAAAUCGACUUCUGUACUCCUCGCCCGACGAGGGGAUUAGUGCUGAAAUUGACCUUGCCGGGUUGAAUUUGGGGUAGUGUGGUCGCAAUUCAAUGGUAUUGGCCUCCGGGAGCUAUCUCAGAGUGCUCCAUUGUGACCGCUCUGGACAGCGCUCUCAACUCAGAUGCACUGGCCAGGUAGACAGGAAAAGGCCCGCGAACUUUUGAAUUUCAUUUCCUGUUUGGCCAGCAUGGCAAGCUGCAGGUGAGUGCAGAUCUCAACAGCAGAGGUGACCAUGAUGGAGUCCCAGAAUCGCAAAAGAGCUCCAGCAUGGACUGAACGGGAGGUACGGUAUCUGAUUGCUGUAUGGGGAGAUGAAUCCGUGCUAUCAGAACUCCGUUCCAAAAGACAAAAUGCCCAAACAUUUGAAAAAAUCUUGAAGGGCAUGAAGGACAGAGGUUAUAACAGGGACCCGCAGCAGUGCCACGUGAAACUUAAGGAGCUCAGGCAAGCCUACCAAAAAACCAAAGAGGCAAACGGCCGCUCGGGGUCAGAGCCCCAGACAUUCCGCUUCUAUGAUGAGCUGCAUGACAUUCUAGGGGGUGCAGCCACCACUAACCCACCCUGUGCUUUGACUCCAUCAAUGGAUUAUCAUGCAACAGGGAUGCGCAUUUUGAGGAUUAGGAAGAUGAGGAAGAGGUUGAAGAUAGUGCACAGAAAGCAAGCGGAGAAACCGUUUUCCCCCGAGAGCCAGGAACUGUUUCUCACCCUGGACCUGGAGCCAGUACCCCCUGAACCCACCCAAGGCAGGCUCCUGGACCCGCCAGGCGGAGUAGGGACCUCUGGAAAACUGGGCUGAUCCUUCUGUGUCUUACAUCAACACAUACAAGAAAGGGUCUGCCACCAAACAUAGGUGACCAUUUUGUUACUGAAUGGAAUCUAGAUUACUCAAGAGACAAGCAGAGUAAAGACAUGUCAGUAAGGUAAGCGGAUACAUUUGAUGUUAUUUGAUGACGGCAAUCACACCUUAAAGAUUGCUCAUGUAUGAUAUCUAGUAACAAUAAGGGUAUGUAGUUUAUGUGUAAGUAUUACAGGAUCACAAUUCACGACUGGCAGAGUGCGGGAGAACCACGCAUAAUGUAAAUUCAGGGAAGUGAAAUAAGCCAGCCAAAUAAACCCAACAUCAACAGUGCAGUCAGUAUCGUUUGUUUACACAAUGGGAACUGUGGUCUGAUUGUCUAGAUAAAGUACCUUUUGCAUUUUCCUGAAAACCUUCAAUGGCACCAGUGCCAUGGGAGAGAAGCCAUAGCCUCAGUAAUGGCCAGCAUGGAGAGUGUUGGACACCCGGUUCUGGGACAGAUUUCACACGGACGUGUCCCAUAGCACACUGCUGUCCUUAGGUUAAAUUAGAACCUAACCACAGAAAAUCCUGAAUAGUUUUUCAAAUGUGAACAGAAGAACUUCAAGUCUGGGUUUAAAAGUUCCCAGAAGUAAUUUUCUAACCAAUAUGUGGCUUAACAGGAACCCAGAGAAAUUACCACAGAGUUGGAAAAAAAGCACUAACACUCACCAUUGACCUGUGCCCUUGGAAUCAGAUUUCCAAAUAAGGCCAUCAAGCAGAGGGUUUUAUUGGUCAAACAGAAGUUACAGAGAGCUGACUGCUUGUUGGGGUACUGUAUGUCACUAUAAAAAGCACUGAAAGAAAGCCACACUCCUGAAGUGGCAUAUGGUGAGACUCCCUCCUUAACAGAGUCAAGAAUUUAUUCUGAAAAAGCUUUUCAAUUAAAAUAUUUGAGCCAUCUCCCUAGUUAGUGACCUCUUUUACCAGUAUUAGUAAGGGAACCCAAUACUGCAGAACAUAACUCUGUUAAUAACAUGUUCUAAUAUUGGUUUAUCACACACAAAAGCUUCUUGACUGUGAUCUUAAUAACUACACACAGCAAGGAUGAAAACCAAAACCGACACAAAGUUCUGCAUUUACAGACAUUUUACCUCUGCCCCAGAGCUUGCUCAACAUCCAUGGAAGCCUAACUGUUGACUGCUCUGCCCUAGCAUGCUAAUAACCCACCAGUCACUCAACACCCAGAUAAACAAAGGGUUAUUAGCACAGUCACAACCCUGCAGCCAGGGCCCAGACUGAACACCUGUUGCAAAGCACCCAGGAAAGAAUGAGGCAUCCAUAAGCACCCCCGACUCUUUCAGCCUGUUCCCUGAGCACAGAACCAGUGCUCUUAGGAAACAGGCAGGUGUUCGCAUAGCACAUAGCAUGCUGGAUAGUGAAAUACAAAGGCCAUCUUUGGUCACGGUAUGGACUACAGAACAGACCUUUAUAGCCAGGAUUGAUGUAUUCAUAUAUAAGAACACGGCAAUGGUCAUACUAGGGUCAGACCCGUGGCCUGUCUAACCCAAUACCCUGUCUUCCAACAGUGGCCGAUGCCAGAUGCUUCAGAGGGAAUGAACAGAACAGAGCAAUUAUUGAGUGAUCCAUCCUGUCAUCCAGUUCCAGCUUCUGGCAGUCAGAGGUUUAGGGACACCUAGAGCAUGUGGUUGCGUCCCUGACCAUCUUGGCUAACAGUCAUUGCUGUACCCAUCCUCCACAAGAAUAUCUAUUCUUUUUUGACCCCCCCCCAAAACUCUCAGCAUGUGAUUGCAUUUGAUGGGUUAUCCUGGGCACACUGGGGCCGAGCUAUGGGAAAAUAUAUAGUUUGGGGGGUGUUAAUGGAUACCACAGACUUUUGUUGCCAUGCCUUGUGAUUCAGAGUUUAUAUGCUGCUGCUUUCAUAAUUAUAUUGUGCUUUUAAAAAAAAACAGCAACUAAUCAGGGGUUAAAAUAAACUUGUUUAAUGGCCAAAUUUAAAAAGACAGAGGAUAAUUCCCAUUCCUUUGUUAUUUGUAAAAUACUAUUCUUGUACCCUGUAAGCAGGUUUUAGAACAUGCCUGAACCACCCAUUAAGACCAACUCAUUAGGCUCUGUAACAGGCCUGUCCUCUGAGAAAGAUUUACAGAUUGCUUAAUAGACCAACUGGAAGUGAUUACCACUGCCUGCAGGAGAUUUCAGCCUAAGGGACUGAUUUAAUUGGCUUGCAAACCACGAUGACGUAGUUUCAGAUACACAGCAAUGGGAGUGAAGCAGCCGUAUAAUCACUUUGUAACCCCAGGUUUCAGAGUAACAGCCGUGUUAGUCUGUAUUUGCAAAAAGAAAAGGAGUAUUUGUGGCUCC